rnacentral:lncRNA from 1 species
AGGGGAUUUAUUAUGGGAAUUGGCUCUUGUGAUUAUGGAGACUUGACAAAUCCAGUGAUAAGUUGUCUGAAAACUGAAGAACCAGUAAAAGUGGAAGUAUAAUUCAGUUUUAGUUCAAAGACCUGGGAACAAGGACCCUGAUGAUGUCAGUCCUGAUCGAAGAGUAAAGGCCUAAGAAUAAGGAGCAAUAAUGGUGUACAUUCCAGAGUCCAAAGAGCUGAGAAUGUGGAGCUCUGAGGUCUGAGGAUUAAAGAAAAUGGAUGUUCUAGCUACAGAAGUGAUAGUAAUUUUUUUCCAUCUUUUGUUGCAUUUGGACCCUCAGCUGGUUGAAUGAUGCCACCCAUAUUGAGGAAUGGGUCCCAGGUUCUCAAGAAAGGCAGCCUUGACUUGUAAAGCAUGAACAUGAUUAUAAAAAUAUGUACAUCUCAAAGGAGCAGAGAAAGAAUGUGCAAUUACAAGUUUUCUAAAGGAAAUGCUGUAAGAGGGAGAAGAGGGACUGCUGUGGUCAUUUGGAUUCUGUCUAGACCAGGCAUAAUCUAAACAGAAGUUUAGCAGCAAAUAAGUUGGGAAGCAGUGAGCAAGAAGACAGAUGAAAGCAGAAUAAUCAGGAGCUGUUUAUUCAUUGCAGCCUUCCAGCCUGAAGCAACAUGAUAAAAAUUUGCAUAUAUAAAAUUUAGAUUAAAAACUCACAAAUGAGUAUGUUACAUAUGAUUCUAUUUAUAUAAAAUUUAUAAAAAGACAGAUUCAUGGUCUUGGAAAUUAAUAUGGUGAUUGUAGUGAGGUGAAUGGUGG